GAUAGUUACGGUUACUGACUCAGGAACCUUGUAUAUUAUAUACCUCGGUUUACAGACGUUUAAUAAACUGGAUCCCUGUUGUGUUCACUUAUCGAUACACUACGAUGGAAUUACGGACCAGUUUAACAUAAACAUGGUAAAUAGAUAGACAGCUGAUAAUCAUAAUUGAUUAAGAAAUAACCUGGAAGAAGAAAUGAGUUAACUAUUGAUUAUAACAGAGACGAGAAUGCCAUCGUGUUUGUUCUGCUAAAAAAAGCAGGAACAUUGGAGUUUAUGGUUAGAUUUUAAAUAUUUAUUGUCUCCAAACUGGGUAAAUUUGAUAUAGUAACAACCCCCCCCCCUUUUUUUAAAUAACUCGAGAACCACACAUCGCGCUCGCUUAACAAAGUAACAAUAAGAAAUAAUUAUUGUUAGUUUCAAGAAUAAUUAAUCGUCAAAACUUAUCCCCUCCCCGACAUCAAAGGAAGUUAAAUGUAUUAUCCCAAAAUUAGACCAAAUUAUUAUGAUAUAAGGACGUCUUGACAGGCUAUUAUUUUAUUUUGUUUUGUUGGUUUUUUUUUUUGCUUUGACGUCUUCCUCCUGUAUGAAAAAAACAUAAUAGACCCCCCCCCUUUUUCCCCAUAAUAUAGCUUUUUAAGAAGUCAUAAUUAUUUGGACUACCCCUGAAUAUAUUUCAGACAGACUCUUCUCUAAAAAAAUGUAAACAUGAUUUGAGAGAGAAAUCUUUGGAAUAGUUUUUUAAAUGAUUUAAUUAUUAUGUCAUGUAUAUAAUUAACAUUAACAUAGUUAUAAACUGAGACUACUAGUAUAACACAUAGUGUUAUAGUAGUCUCAGCUAUAAACUUUCCAUUGUAUUGACCAAUAUGACUAACUCAUAUGCUCUUUCCCAUAAAUGUCACAAUAUCAAUAUAUUACAGUAAAACUGAUAGUUUGAUGACAUUGUUUAAGACUAUUGACCUCAGGUCAGCCUAAACUGAGUUUAAAACUGUAAUUUAUUCAUUAAAACAGUUCAAGACAUGUACCUUCUGAAAUGUGAUUGCAUCAAAAUUAAACCUAAGGCAUAACAUACUUAGUGUGCAGGAAGUGCCACCAAAUAAAUACUGAUUUGUAAAAUUAGAUGAUGAUAUUUGUGAAGUCAAAGAUAUUAUAGCUAGUUAUAACUGGUUUUAGAUAUAAAUCUGAGUAAAAGGUUGAUUUAUAUGUGCUCUUUCAUGUUUAGAUUAUAAUUUAAAUUUAAUCUUUUGAAGUUUUUUUUAUAAUAUUAAGACAUUAAAAUCACAAUUAUUUAUUUAUACACAAAAAAAUAAUUUUUGUCCUUUUUUAGUUGAAUGACUGUACACAAACAUUAUACACACAUAAUUUUGAUAAUUCUGUAAUGUUUUUUUUCUAUAGCCCCAGAAUGUGACAAAAGAC
rnacentral:lncRNA from 1 species